rnacentral:rRNA from 1 species
UACGUAGGGUGCGAGCGUUGUCCGGAAUUACUGGGCGUAAAGAGCUCGUAGGUGGUUUGUCGCGUUGUUCGUGAAAACUCACAGCUCAACUGUGGGCGUGCGGGCGAUACGGGCAGACUGGAGUACUGCAGGGGAGACUGGAAUUCCUGGUGUAGCGGUGGAAUGCGCAGAUAUCAGGAGGAACACCGGUGGCGAAGGCGGGUCUCUGGGCCGAUACUGACGCUGGAGGUGCGAAAGCGUGGGGAGCAAACAGG